GGCCUGGUGGUGUAAUGGUAACAUGUCCUCUUAUUAUAAGACGCAAAGACUUUGCAGAAGAAGCACCCCGUUCGAUUCGGGGGCGAGGCCA